ACUGACCCCAAUUCUUGGCAUUCAGAAACAUUCUCAGGAAGGUAUCGUGUUUACACGGUUUCUAGACACCCUGCUUGAAGAAUUACAUCUAAAGAAUGAAGACCUUGAAAGUUUAACCAUCAUAUUUAGAACCAGCUGUUUACCUGAGUGAUAUAUUCCAUGAAGACAAAAUAGAAGAUGAACUUCUAUUCACCGUUUCUGGAAUUCUAGCCACCAUUAUGGUCUGGUGGUGACUGAUAACUAGCUUUAUUCCAAGACAGACCUUUACCUCUUUAAGUUUCAGCCUCCCAUCUUCCAGUCCCUCAGUCUCCAACUGCAGACGAUGACCUCCCCAGAUAGAGGAGAAUCAUUACUCCAACAAGGAUAACCAAAUCUUUGCAUCCCUAGCUACAAGGCAUAGUAUUUUUAUUUGAAAAUGAAUGUUUAAGUAUUAAAUUGAAACUUGAAUGAAUAUUCAAGAAAAUAUAAUGAU